rnacentral:rRNA from 1 species
UGCCAGCAGCCGCGGUAAUACGGAGGGGGUUAGCGUUGUUCGGAAUUACUGGGCGUAAAGCGCGCGUAGGCGGAUUAGUCAGUCAGAGGUGAAAUCCCAGGGCUCAACCCUGGAACUGCCUUUGAUACUGCUAGUCUUGAGUUCGAGAGAGGUGAGUGGAAUUCCGAGUGUAGAGGUGAAAUUCGUAGAUAUUCGGAGGAACACCAGUGGCGAAGGCGGCUCACUGGCUCGAUACUGACGCUGAGGUGCGAAAGUGUGGGGAGCAAACAGGAUUAGAAACCCCCGUAGUCC